UACAGAGGAGCCAAGCGUUGUCCGGAUUGACUGGGCGUAAAGCGCACGCAGGCGGACGCGCGCGUGGGGUGUGAAAUCUGGCCGCUUAACGGCCAGGCGCCAUCCCAUACGGCGCGACUGGAGCGAUGCAGAGGUCGGUGGAAUUGCCGGUGUAGUGGUGAAAGUGCGUAGAGAUCGGCAGGAACACCCAGGGGGAAACCAGCCGACUGGGCAUCUGCUGACGCUGAUGUGCGAGAGCGUGGGGAGCGAACCGG
rnacentral:rRNA from 1 species